rnacentral:rRNA from 1 species
ACAUAUGGCUAUACCACCCCAAACAUGCCUGAUUUUGUCUGAUCUCAGAAGCUAAGCAGGAUCAGGCCUGAUUAAUACUUGAAUGGGAGACCUUUGGAAAUACCCAGUGCUGUAGACC